UACGGGGGGGGUAAGCGUUGUUCGGAAUCACUGGGCGUAAAGGGCGCGUAGGUGGCGCGACAAGUCAGUGGUGAAAGCUCGACGCUCAACGUCGAGUCGGCCACUGAUACUGUUGGGCUUGAGCACUGUAGAGGCUAAUGGAAUUCCGGGUGUAGCGGUGGAAAUGCGUAGAGAUCCGGAAGAACACCGGUGGCGAGGCGAUUAGCUAGGGGCAGUUUUGCUGACACUGGAGGCGCGA
rnacentral:rRNA from 1 species